UCUCUGCGCCAACAAAACAUGCCAGUGAUCCUCGGCUACACAGCCCGAGAUAUGGAAACGGAUCUAAUCUGACGCCAACAAUUUCUGUUGAAGACUUUUGCAGUGAAGAACCAUUAAGGUCACGGCCAGAAUCAAGAAAUUCAAUAUCAUCUGUCAGUUCUGACAUGGGCUAUCUAACAAUCCACGGAAAACUCAAAAGUAAUGACCGCAGACCUAAAUCCGCUGACACUUAUCGACGGAAAUCGGAUAGUUCAAAACAAACUACUGAUAUUUUUAGUCUAAGAAAAGUAUCAUCUGAAAACAUUAUAUGCAGCGAAGCUGAUUCAAUAGAAUGCAGGUGUACUUGUUCCUCAACUUGUGUGUCCAGUAAAUACCGGAGUGUCAGGAAGCCAGCUGUGGUGUCGUUUUACAGUCUAUGGAGAAACAACCAACCUAGAACUUUAGGCAAAAAACUUGAAAUUCCAUCUUAUAUGAAGAGAAAAUCAGAUUAUAGAGAAUGCGGCUGCAAAACUAGAUUAUAUGAAAAGAAGUGCUCUAAAGAAUAAAUCUGAAAAAUGUUGCUGUCAUGAAGCUUAAAACGGACAUACUUUUCUGGUGCUUGUGCAAUAAUUCAUAUGAAAUAUGUUAAUGUAAG
rnacentral:lncRNA from 1 species